rnacentral:rRNA from 1 species
GAUGAACGCUGGCGGCGUGCCUAAUACAUGCAAGUCGAGCGAACAGACGAGGAGCUUGCUCCUCUGACGUUAGCGGCGGACGGGUGAGUAACACGUGGAUAACCUACCUAUAAGACUGGGAUAACUUCGGGAAACCGGAGCUAAUACCGGAUAAUAUAUUGAACCGCAUGGUUCAAUAGUGAAAGACGGUUUUGCUGUCACUUAUAGAUGGAUCCGCGCCGCAUUAGCUAGUUGGUAAGGUAACGGCUUACCAAGGCAACGAUGCGUAGCCGACCUGAGAGGGUGAUCGGCCACACUGGAACUGAGACACGGUCCAGACUCCUACGGGAGGCAGCAGUAGGGAAUCUUCCGCAAUGGGCGAAAGCAUGACGGAGCAACGCCGCGUGAGUGAUGAAGGUCUUCGGAGCGUAAAACUCUGUUAUUAGGGAAGAACAAAUGUGGAAGUAACUAUGCACGUCUUGACGGUACCUAAUCAGAAAGCCACGGCUAACUACGUG